GCGCCUCCUUUUUUCCCCCACCCUCUUCCUUUCCGUUUCCACACUCUAGGGUUAGGGUUUCGCCCCAUACUUCUUCUUCUUCUUCUUCGUCUUCUUCCUCCUCCUCCUUCGAGUUCUAGGGUUACCGUUUCGGCGCGAUAAUGGCGACGCCUCAGCAGCAGAGCAUCGGCGGCGGCGGCGGAGCAACGGCGGCGGCGGCGGCGGCGGCGGCGGCGGCGCCGAAGAGGAAGCCAGUGUUCACGAAGGUGGAUCAGCUGAAGCCGGGGACCGGAGGGCACACGCUCACGGUGAAGGUACUCAGCUCCAAGACCGUGCUCCAAAAGGGGCGCCCCUCCGUCGCCGCCGCGGGGCAGAUCCGCCCCACCAAGAUCGCCGAGUGCCUCGUCGGCGACGAGACCGGCACCAUCAUCUUCACCGCACGCAACGAUCAGGUCGAUUUGAUGAAACCGGAAGCUACUGUCAUCCUCCGUAACGCGAAGAUCGAUAUGUUCAAGGGUUCCAUGAGACUGGCCGUCGACAAGUGGGGCCGCAUCGAGGUCACCGAUCCCGCCACCUUCGUCGUCAAAGAGGACAACAACAUCUCACUUGUUGAGUACGAGCUUGUGAAUGUCGUGGAAGAAUGAACAAACUAACCUUUUCUAAGCAGUUCCUAUUCCAAAAAUUUCAACUUAAAGAUAUGACGAAACACGAAGAAACAAUAAGAGCCUCUUGAUCCUUCUUUUUGAUUUAGAGAGAUGCCUCGUCGUCGAACCGUGUGAGAAAUGAUGUAUCGUAGUCGGUGUUGUAAAGUAUAAGAUAUGAUGUAUGGAGCGUCCGGUGCGGUGCGGUGCGGUGCGUGUGAGGUGACAGUUUCUCUUGGGAUGUACAUUCGGAUUUUACGACUGUUUCCAGUUUAAGCUUUUUAUUUACUAUGUUUAGGCAAUUGCUUACUCAAAUUUCUAGUGCAUAUCAAUUGAUUAGUAAAACAGCAUACUCGUGCAGCAGCUUAUUCUUCUAA